UUGCGCUAGAUGGGGGGCUUGGGGUCCCCUGCACCGCAAAUCCCCAUAGGCGGGUUGAAUUCCUGCUCGAGGGUGAUUUUGGUGGUUACUGCCAGUUUCAGCAGCGUUGAAAGAUGGGUUCCACACGGCGAAAGUCCGUGAAUUCCGCCAGGACCGGAAGGUAGCAACGGUAAGCGAUCGCUUUCGGGUGAUGUGGCAGUGCCUGUCUUGAGCCUAUGGUUCAGGCGAAGUGCCAUUGAUAUUCAUUCGACAGCAGGUGCGCGA
rnacentral:SRP_RNA from 1 species